rnacentral:rRNA from 47 species
AAAACGACUCUCGGCAACGGAUAUCUCGGCUCUCGCAUCGAUGAAGAACGUAGCGAAAUGCGAUACUUGGUGUGAAUUGCAGAAUCCCGUGAACCAUCGAGUCUUUGAACGCAAGUUGCGCCCUAAGCCAUUUGGCCGAGGGCACGUCUGCCUGGGCGUCAAUC